rnacentral:rRNA from 1 species
GUCCACGCCGUAAACGAUGGAUACUAGCUGUUCGGAGCAAUCUGAGUGGCUAAGCGAAAGUGAUAAGUAUCCCACCUGGGGAGUACGUUCGCAAGAAUGAAACUCAAAGGAAUUGACGGGGGCCCCGCACAAGCGGUGGAGCAUGUGGUUUAAUUCGAUGAUACGCGAGGAACCUUACCAAGGCUUAAAUGUAGUUUGACCGUUUUGGAAACAGAACUUUCGCAAGACAAUUACAAGGUGCUGCAUGGUUGUCGU